AUUGCUGGAGCUCCCCUGUGUCCCUGAGGCCUUCUGAAGAGCAAUGGGGGAGUCCUGUCUGAGUGCCAUCACUGAGCUGUGGCUCUGCUGCUGGGGAUGGCUCCCAACCUUGUGGGACAUUCGUGUGAAGCAGAGGAACCCUGGAAGCGUUCUGGGGAGGUCCCAUGGUCACUCAGCCUGCCCAUAGCUGCUGCUUGAGGCUGUUUGCCACUGUACCCAGGAUCUACUCCUGGGACCCAUCAGCUUUGCCCUGAAACAAAAGCUCCAGCUGAACAAAAUCCCAGAUCCGUUGGCUCCGAGGAGGUGCAGCGCAACGGCAUUAAAUAUUAACGUGCCAGCAACAUUAGGAAGAGCCAACGGAACUUAAGUGACUCCGAACGUGGAGCACUGAUUAACUGCUGGAGGGGAUUAUUGAAGAGGUAAACGGAAAGUAACGCAGGGAAUUGCCUAAUGUGGAUUGAUCUGGGGCUCCCUUUGGACCAGGAAGGGCUUAUUAGACACACUACCUGAUGCUGCUAUUCAGAAGCACGGUUAGCUGAGCUACUUUGGCUCUUUCUUUCUAUCAGCUUAUUAGAAACCCCUGGGUAGUGCAAUAUCUCCAAAUAGGAUGAAGCUGUAUUUACUAAUUCGUGGGGAUUAGUGGGAAUAGAAUUAUUAAGAUCCCUAUCGGAGGCUGUUGAGGGCUGCGCUGCUUUUGUCGUGUCUCUGUCUCAGGAAAAGCUGCAGCAAUGGGCUCAGCUUCUCUGUUGGGUCCAGCAUGGGCAGAGCGAUGCCAAAUUGCUGUCACAUUUCGCUAGAAUUGGGGUCCAGGCUUCUGAAAAGAAGCAGGAAAGGCUGAUGCUCCACUCUGCUCUUGGUCCGAUGCUUUCUACACCACCUCUGGGGGGAUCCUCAUGCUGAAGGGACUGCAGGGGAUGGGAGGAUGCUGAGGGUGAGAUGCUCUGGCUGCAUCCCAGCAAAGGGAAGGAUUGCACCAGCACUACAAGAAAUGUAUCUGGAAGGGAUGGAUGGCUUUAUUUAUUCCGUUUGUUUCCACGACCACACAAACAGUGGCAAUAAAUCACCCUAUCACCGAAACCAACAGGCAGACCUCACCAGGACAUUGCAGCCCCUGUUGCUCUUUCCUACUGGGACAGACCCCCCCCCGGGCUGGGCAGACUGGGGAAAAUCAGCAAAUUGGCCAAAAGCUGUUGCUUUUGAUGGGGAAAAACACCUAUCCAGGAUGUGCGUGAGUGAGUGCCAAUCCUGAACCCCACAGCAUGGGGCUGUGUGGGGUGCUUGCCUGGCAGCUCUAUGGCAGGAGAAGGCAGGCAGCAGAAGUCCCCACUCCCUGCUGAGUGAGCAGGAAGGCUGUUCUGCCGACCUGGGUUUUGUUUUAUUUUGCUUUAUUCCAUUCCAUGUCUCUUUCCUCCUGCUUGGCAAAUUACACUUCCUCAACUGCCACUGUUCAAAGCAUCUCUUCCCACGGUUUGUUUGGUAUUGGUGGAGAAAAGCUUUUCCUGAAGUGCAAAAAAAACCACCCCCUGCC
ensembl:lncRNA